UUGAGAAGAUCCUGCCGCCAAGACCAGGGAGCCAGUCGUCGGACAUGGACGUGGAUCAGUGCGAGGAAACGACCAUGCACGACGUGAACAUAGAAGAGGAGAUGAGACGCAGGCAGCAUCAAAGGCGGCAAGAAGCAUACGAUGAAGAAGAUGAGGAUGAAGGCGGUGCCCCAAGGGGGGUGCAGUGCGCCCAGCAGUAGGAAACAAGGAUGUCGAUCAACUACAUUCUACUAUUGCUCCUUUCCCGUUUAAUUAAAGUACUCCUAGCUGAUCUGAUGCGCGGUAUUAUUAUUGUUGGCGUCCUAAGAUUAUGAGGUUGUUAGCCAUAAGUAUCAUUCAUCCUUUUGUUGGGCCUAUUGCCUGCUGUGUCGUGUACCGGUAUUAUUUUGGAGCCCAUACUUUGAUAUUUCAGACUUGGUUGGGUGAAUUCGUCUUUGUGUGUGCUGGUGCUGCAUUAUUAUUAUUAUUAUAUUUGUAAUCUUCGUGCUGCUCAGCAACUUGAGGCCUUGCUACUAUUUGUAUCAGAUCUGUCAGUGAGGGUCAUU
rnacentral:lncRNA from 1 species